AUGUCAGGAAAGAGCUUCCAGGGACUGAAGGAACAAGCUGAAGGUGCAGCAAAAGAUGCUGCAAACACACUGGGACAGGCCACUCAGGAUGCAGUCAACCAGAUUACAGAUGCAAGCCAGAAAGCUUUUGACAAGGCUUCCAAGACAGCACAAGAUGGAGUAGAAAAAGUGACCGGUCAGGCUGCAGAAGCAAUGUCUGGCUUUGGGAAAAAAUGUGGAUUUAAAAAAUGAUGCUUUUUUUUAAUUUAAAAAAUAAUUCAAGUCUGCCUGUAUAAAUCUCUCUUUGAUCUGCUAUUACUUACUUCUUUGUGUAGAAAAAUGAAAGCUGUUUGAUACCUGGAUAAUUUUGUUCUUCUCAAAUACAAGCUUUUGAGGCAGAAGGUCCCCCUCAUCCCUUACAUAGAAAAAUGUAAUCUUUUAGCACGUCUGCUCACAAUCAUCAACAUGGCUCAAAAGGUUUCAGCAAUACUAUUGCCCUGCUCUUACAACAGCUCUGUGAUUAUUGCCACAUUUGCUGAGUGUUAUUUACAAAGUCAGUGAAACUGUUCAUAAUUAGGACACCGGAACAGUCAUGUGAUGAAACUGAGUCUUCUUCCAAUCAUCAAAAAUUAGCUGGGGUUACAUUUCUUGUCAGUUGUUUGUUUGUUUCCAUCCUCUACAUUUUUAGAUUAAGAUAAAUAAAAGUACUGUAAGAUUUCC
rnacentral:lncRNA from 1 species